GAUGAACGCUGGCGGCGUGCCUAAUACAUGCAAGUCGAGCGAACAGACGAGGAGCUUGCUCCUCUGACGUUAGCGGCGGACGGGUGAGUAACACGUGGAUAACCUACCUAUAAGACUGGGAUAACUUCGGGAAACCGGAGCUAAUACCGGAUAAUAUAUUGAACCGCAUGGUUCAAUAGUGAAAGACGGUUUUGCUGUCACUUACAGAUGGAUCCGCGCCGCAUUAGCUAGUUGGUAAGGUAACGGCUUACCAAGGCAACGAUGCGUAGCCGACCUGAGAGGGUGAUCGGCCACACUGGAACUGAGACACGGUCCAGACUCCUACGGGAGGCAGCAGUAGGGAAUCUUCCGCAAUGGGCGAAAGCCUGACGGAGCAACGCCGCGUGAGUGAUGAAGGUCUUCGGAUCGUAAAACUCUGUUAUUAGGGAAGAACAAAUGUGUAAGUAACUAUGCACGUCUGGACGGUACCUAAUCAGAAAGCCACGGCUAACUACGU
rnacentral:rRNA from 1 species